rnacentral:rRNA from 1 species
UCUGGAAAGGCGCGCGAUACAGGGUGACAGCCCCGUACACAAAAAUGCACAUAUUGUGAGCUCGAUGAGUAGGGCGGGACACGUGGUAUCCUGUCUGAAUAUGGGGGGACCAUCCUCCAAGGCUAAAUACUCCUGACUGACCGAUAGUGAACCAGUACCGUGAGGGAAAGGCGAAAAGAACCCCGGCGAGGGGAGUGAAAAAGAACCUGAAACCGUGUACGUACAAGCAGUGGGAGCCUCUUAAUGGGGUGACUGCGUACCUUUUGUAUAAUGGGUCAGCGACUUAUAUUCUGUAGCAAGGUUAACCGAAUAGGGGAGCCGAAGGGAAACCGAGUCUUAACUGGGCGUUAAGUUGCAGGGUAUAGACCCGAAACCCGGUGAUCUAGCCAUGGGCAGGUUGAAGGUUGGGUAACACUAACUGGAGGACCGAACCGACUAAUGUUGAAAAAUUAGCGGAUGACUUGUGGCUGGGGGUGAAAGGCCAAUCAAACCGGGAGAUAGCUGGUUCUCCCCGAAAGCUAUUUAGGUAGCGCCUCGUGAAUUCAUCUCCGGGGGUAGAGCACUGUUUCGGCAAGGGGGUCAUCCCGACUUACCAACCCGAUGCAAACUGCGAAUACCGGAGAAUGUUAUCACGGGAGACACACGGCGGGUGCUAACGUCCGUCGUGAAGAGGGAAACAACCCAGACCGCCAGCUAAGGUCCCAAAGUCAUGGUUAAGUGGGAAACGAUGUGGGAAGGCCCAGACAGCCAGGAUGUUGGCUUAGAAGCAGCCAUCAUUUAAAGAAAGCGUAAUAGCUCACUGGUCGAGUCGGCCUGCGCGGAAGAUGUAACGGGGCUAAACCAUGCACCGAAGCUGCGGCAGCGACACUAUGUGUUGUUGGGUAGGGGAGCG